GGGGAUGUUUUGGUUUUGACAGCAUCGUAAACGGUAGCAAGCACGUCGAGAGUUGUAAGCCCUCUCGUAAAUCCCAGUUUACAAAAAAUUAGUAGGCAACUACAAUUAUUCAUACGCUUGCUAGUCUCCAAGAGAUUGAGCAUUAAUCAGAGCCGCCAAGGCUGCGGCACUGACGUAUAUCCCGCCGCGUUUUUCGCCGCUUAUGCACGGUAUAUGGGGUAUCAUUCAAAGCGGAUGCACGGGUGGAUGUCCCUAAAGCCCGCCAAGAUUCAAGGACUAAGUUGAGAUUGGCCCGUCUUCCGGCAGAUCUCUUCCGACAAGCAAAGGAAGAAUAAGCGUGUAGAAAACUAUUGGAUAUUAUGUUUGGACGAGGGUUCGAGUCCCUCCAUCUCCAC
rnacentral:tmRNA from 1 species